GAAAACCCUAACCAGCUCCUAAUUUACUCUCUGAGAAUAGUGUGAAAUGUAUUUCUCCUCCAUCGAUCCUGUCCGCCACUCGGCGUGACUCGCCUCACCUCGCUGUCGAAGCCCUGUCUGCCAUUCGGCAUGCGUUUCUUCUUGUUGUGUUAAAAUUUGAAAAAAGAAAAAAUUGGUGAUUGGAGAUGAUGGGUUCAGGUACUAAUUUGUCACGGUCAUUGGGUUUGGGAUGAGUACCACUUUUAUUAUGUUUAUGUGCACAAGAAUCAAUUGUAGGAGGAUAAGAAGGAGUGUUGAAUCUCGCAUGAUGUAUGAGAUUGAAUUUAGGAUUGAUAUAGAACAGCCAGAACAUCAUGCUAAUGACCCUGAACCCAAGCUUAUUAUGUUUGAUGCAAUCCCCAUUUUAAAGUUCAACCAAGAGGCUUUCAGUGCUAUUUUGAUACAAUCCCCCUAUUAUGCUUGAUGCAAUCCCCAUGUUUGGAGAUUGAAUGGACCAGGGGUUUUGUACAGAAAUUUUGUUCCUAGAAAAGAUUUUCUCAAACGUGGAGACUUGCAAAGUGCAAAGUUUUAUGUUCAUGUGAAGCCAGCACUUGGUAGAACUUUCACAGACAUUACAAUGUAGAUUUUCUGUCUAUUCAAUGGACCAGCUACUAUUAAAAUUGGAACGAAAAACAUACCUUCUGAGAAUUGACCUUUAAUUAAGGAAAAUAUUUUGUUGUGGCAAAGACGGUGUGAGGAUGCAUUGUAUUCCCUGCUCACUUUUGGUGCUCGACGGCCUUUGUGUCACUUGGCAUCAGUUGCAAUGGCAAAGAUCAUAUCCAAAGGAGAUGGAAUAUCUGUUUAUGCUAGAGUAAGCAGCCUUUAGAAAUUUCUUUCUGAUGGUUCUGUUACCAUAAGAAAAAUUCAUUUCUUCAAUAUACUUGCUUUUGAGUUUUUGUCAUCUAAAUUGGUUCUCUUGUUUGAAGAAUUAUAUAGAACUCAGUUUUUGUAAGCGAUUUUAGUUAUU